UGGUGGCAUUGUCCCAUC
rnacentral:snRNA from 1 species